rnacentral:rRNA from 1 species
CGAAGGUGGCAAGCGUUACUCGGAAUUACUAGGCGUAAAGGGCAGGUAGGUGGUUUGGUAAGUCUGUUGUGAAAGCUCCUUGCUCAACGAGGAGAGGUCAACAGAUACUGCCAGGCUUGAGUAUGGGAGAGGGUACUGGAAUUCCCGGUGUAGCGGUGAAAUGCGCAGAGAUCGGGAGGAACACCAAUGGCGAAAGCAGGUACCUGGACCAUUACUGACACUCAGCUGCGAAAGCUAGGGGAGCAAACAGGAUUAGAUACCCUGGUAGUCCUAGCCGUAAACGAUGCACAUUAGGCGUGAGGGGUAUCGGACCCCCUUCGUGCCGAAGCAAACGCAUUAAAUGUGCCGCCUGGGGAGUACGGCCGCAAGGUUG